UCCAGCAUGUUACAUAAGGAGUGACCACUGUGUGCAGCUGGAGCUCAAUCCUCCUGAGAUGCGCAAGAGGCCAUGUAGAACCCCACACUGUCCUGCUGAGGUGUGAGGAGGCUGAGGCAUGUACCCACCAAGUUCAUCUCUUAUUUUACAAGGACUACUUCUGGGGGCAUGAACUUUGUAUAUCUGCUGGCUUACCUUGCUUGAGACAGUGGUCAGAGAACAACUCUGGACAAAGAGAAGGAAGAGUCAUGUGCUCCUACAGCUCCAGAGUUGCCCUGGUUCUUGCAUCUUGAGGCUUUGUUUGCAGCUAUUGCCAGCUCCUUGAGUCUCUAGCCCUACCCCAUGGCAGUGCCUCUCACUUUAACACGCAGACCAAGAAAAGCUGAGGAAAUGUUCCAAACUAAAGGAAAUUGUAGAGAUACAACUAUCAAAUGUAACAUGUGCUCCUGGGCUGGAUCCUGCUCCAGAAAAAAAUUCCUAUACAGGACAUUUGGGGUUGGGGACAAUUAAUAAAACUGGAAUAUGGACUGUAGAUUAGGUAAUAGUAUUCUACCAAUGUUAAAUUUCUGUGAUUUCAUAAGAUAAUAUUCUUGUUUUUAGGAAAUGUAUGCUAAA